UCAAAUAAUUUUUAUUAUUAAAAAUUUAUAUACAAUUAUAAAAUGAGCACAACCGUCAACAAGCUGACGAUUGGCUUUGGGAUAUAAUUGCCAACAAGUCUUCCCAUAGAAAAUUAAAUGGAGAACUUCUAGAGGCAGUCUGGAGUGGGAAGAAGGUGGAACUUUUCCACUGAAGGUGUUCGAUGGCCCAGCUUAUACUUUGGUGGAGGAAGUCGAAAGGAGCAAGUUAAACCUAAAGUCACAAAAGAUGAUUUUCAUCAGAUUUUCAUAAGGUGUGGAGGGUUAUUUGCUGUGG
rnacentral:lncRNA from 1 species